rnacentral:rRNA from 1 species
CCUACGGGUGGCAGCAGUGAGGAAUAUUGGUCAAUGGACGAGAGUCUGAACCAGCCAAGUAGCGUGAAGGAUGACUGCCCUAUGGGUUGUAAACUUCUUUUAUAUGGGAAUAAAAUGUUCCACGUGUGGGCUUUUGUAUGUACCAUAUGAAUAAGGAUCGGCUAACUCCGUGCCAGCAGCCGCGGUAAUACGGAGGAUCCGAGCGUUAUCCGGAUUUAUUGGGUUUAAAGGGAGCGUAGGUGGAUUGUUAAGUUAGUGGUGAAAGGUUGGGGCUCAACCGUGAAAUUGCAGUUGAUACUGGCAGUCUUGAGUGCAGUAGAGGUAGGCGGAAUGCGUGGUGUAGCGGUGAAAUGCUUAGAGAUCACGAAGAACUCCGAUUGCGAAGGCAGCUCACUGGACUGCAACUGACGCUGAGGCUCGAAAGUGUGGGUAUCAAACAGGAUUAGAUACCCGGGUAGUC